UAGUGGCGAACGGGUGAGUAACACGUGGGCAAUCUGCCCUUCACUCUGGGACAAGCCCUGGAAACGGGGUCUAAUACCGGAUAACACUCCUCAGGGCAUCUUGAGGGGUUAAAAGCUCCGGCGGUGAAGGAUGAGCCCGCGGCCUAUCAGCUUGUUGGUGGGGUGAUGGCCUACCAAGGCGACGACGGGUAGCCGGCCUGAGAGGGCGACCGGCCACACUGGGACUGAGACACGGCCCAGACUCCUACGGGAGGCAGCAGUGGGGAAUAUUGCACAAUGGGCGAAAGCCUGAUGCAGCGACGCCGCGUGAGGGAUGACGGCCUUCGGGUUGUAAACCUCUUUCAGCAGGGAAGAAGCGAAAGUGACGGUACCUGCAGAAGAAGCGCCGGCUAACUACGUGCCAGCAGCCGCGGUAAUACGUAGGGCGCAAGCGUUGUCCGGAAUUAUUGGGCGUAAAGAGCUCGUAGGCGGCUUGUCACGUCGGAUGC
rnacentral:rRNA from 1 species